UACAGAGGGUGCGAGCGUUAAUCGGAAUUACUGGGCGUAAAGCGUGCGUAGACGGUCAUGUAAGUCGGGUGUGAAAUCCCCGAGCUCAACUUGGGAAUUGCAGUGGAUACUGGCAAGCUGGAGUACGGUAGAGGAAGGUGGAAUUCCCGGUGUAGCAGUGAAAUGCGUAGAGAUCGGGAGGAACACCAGUGGCGAAGGCGGCCUUCUGGACCAGUACUGACGCUCAUGCACGAAAGCGUGGGGAGCAAACAGG
rnacentral:rRNA from 1 species